UCUGGCGUCAUGUCUCCGCGCCCCUGGCGCGCCGGGGCCGGGUUGCUGGCGCGGUUGCCGGUGUGGGCCCGCUGCGCCAUGGCGGAGGUGAAAGUGAAGCCGGAGGUCCCCGACCCCAUGGAUAUAGAGAACAGGAUUAUUGAGCUGUGUCAUCAGUUCCCUCAUGGUAUCACAGACCAAGUGAUCCAAAAUGAUAUGCCUCACAUGGAAGCUCAGCAGCGAGCCAUGGCGAUCAACAGGCUGCUCUCCAUGGGGCAACUGGACCUUCUCAGGAGCAAUGCGGGUCUCCUCUAUAGAAUCAAAGAGUCUCAAAAUGCAAGUAAAAUGAAAGGCUCUGACAAUCAAGAGAAGCUGGUUUACCAAAUUAUAGAAGAUGCAGGCAACAAAGGUAUUUGGAGCAGGGACAUUAGGUACAAAAGUAAUUUGCCUUUAACGGAGAUCAACAAGAUACUGAAAAACUUGGAAAGCAAGAAACUAAUUAAAGCAGUUAAAUCUGUGGCAGCAUCCAAGAAGAAGGUGUAUAUGCUAUAUAACCUGCAGCCUGACCGCUCGGUGACUGGUGGGGCUUGGUACAGUGACCAAGACUUUGAGUCUGAAUUUGUGGAGGUGUUAAAUCAACAGUGUUUUAAAUUUCUACAGAGUAAGGCAGAAGCAGCUCGAGAGAGCAAACAGAACCCCAUGAUACAGAGGAACAGCUCAUUUGCCUCAUCCCAUGAGGUGUGGAAAUACAUCUGUGAACUGGGUAUCAGUAAGGUAGAGUUGUCAAUGGAAGACAUUGAAACCAUUUUAAAUACGCUAAUAUAUGAUGGAAAAGUGGAGAUGACUAUUAUCGCCGCAAAGGAAGGGACGGUAGGCAGUGUGGAUGGACAGAUGAAGUUGUACAGAGCCGUUAGUCCUCUCAUACAACCCACUGGAUUAGUCAGGACGCCCUGUGGACUCUGCCCCGUUUUUGAUGAUUGCCAUGAAGGUGGUGAGAUUUCUCCAUCAAACUGUAUUUAUAUGACAGAGUGGCUGGAGUUUUAAGUGAAAGAAAACUGUAAAGUGGAUUCAUGCUUCACAGCCAAGGUGAUGAAGCAGCUUGCUUUUUUAAAAGUGGACUUCUAAAUUUGUGAGCAACUUCAGGACAUAGUGACUGUUUUUAAUGAAAUACAAAGCAGCAGUGGACUGGAAGUUGUCAGCACUGAAGAUCAAGGCUGAAGUGGAAAUGUAUAUCCGUUCCUUGUACCAAAAAUUGGUUGUGUGACUUAAAGUGCCAUAGAACAGCUGGGUGGUGAUGCAUCACUUCCAAGGGUUGCGUCAGCUACAUGAUCAUCAUCAAAUCUAUGUUGGUGUGUUCUGGCAGCUGCAUCAUGUACAUGGAUGAAAUUUUGGGAAGAUGUGUUUUCCAGAAGAGAAGAAGAGUUCCUCUGGCCUGAUGGUACAGGGAAAAUUUUUAUAAGUUAUAUGAAUACCCUCAGGGUUGAAAAAGAUGACAAUGACGGUUGUUUAUACAUAAAUGUGGCCUCUGGCCUUGGUUUGUGAUCUGAGAAAGUCAUGAUACCAGCAUACUAUGAAAAAGCACAGUCUUUCUGUGGCAUGGAGCCAAUUUGUGUUUCUCUUGUGUGACCUCUCUGGCUUCUCCUGUGUGUGCCUCUCUACUGAUGAAUGGGCAAUAACAUAGAGACUGUGGUGUUGCCAUUAGCAUCGUGCCCAGGGUAUGCUGGGCCAUGGACCUCUGUGUCUGGUUUCCUCGGGCUAUCGAUGUCCAUCUGGCAGUAUUAGAGGGGUGGUAUUGUCUUUGGAAAAUGUAGGUUCAAAUCCUACUUGUGAUGUAAGCAGAUUUUUGUACCAACUAUGUUAUGCUAAUUUGUUACUCCACCUCUUCCUUUACCUAUAAUCAAGCAACCUCUAGGGAAAAAAAAAUCAGCUCCUUUUUCAUAAAUGAGAAUAUCGUGCAUAUAUGGUACAGCCAGCUCUCCACCAUCCAGAAUAAGAGAGCUGAGAUGAAGUACUAGCAGCCAGGGUAGUAUAGACACAUGAACUGUGCAGAGACAGUCUGGUCCCAGUGCAAAUUGCUACCUGUGGCUAAAUCUUGCUGUGCCCAGGCUGGAUCUGUCUACAACUACUCAGUAUCUUCAUGAUAGCCUCCCAGUACUGGGAAACAAUUAGUGGGUCAAGCACAACACCGGACCUGUUGCAUCUAGCUAUUUUAAAAAUUCCCUCUCUGAAAAUAAGCCUUCCUGGAUGCCGUGUUGGGAGGGCAAUGGUCAAACACCUCUACAACUGAGUUACCAGCAUGCCAGGUCAUCUGACCAUAAGUAGUAAAGACUGGGCUAACAUAGAUUUUUGGAAGACAGCUUACCUAGCAAGGGUAGGAGACUUUACAUCAGCUAUUUCAAUAGUGUCCAGGAAUUUGCCCUUUCUAAAACCAGUCUGGGUCCCAUAUAAGUGUUCAAAUCUUGCUUGAUUCUCCAUUUUCCUACUUAGAGCGUGGGUUGUGGACAGAAGGCUAACGGUGCUAAGUGCUGUGCAAAGAAUUAAAGAAAAAAAAAAAAGGUUUCUGUCCCAUCCAGGGAUGGUAUAGAUACAGAGGCAAAGGCUGGGAGCAGCUAGGCAUGCUGUCUCCAACUGCCUGAUAAGCUGGCAUGUCCAUGGAAGGAGUCUGAUUGUAUUAGCUGCUGUGAGCACUCACAGCCGGGUCUUUGUUGCAGUGUUGUCUCCAGGUGACAGGGAUAUGUAUCUUUACAGAAGCAGGACAGCUCUUACAAAAGAGAUGGGGUGAAAUGAUGCGAUGUUUGUUCUUUCUUUGCCCCCUAUAACCACUUGGCACACUGAAGGUUGAGGAAAAUGCUGCUCACUUCACUGGAGGGAGUCUUAACCUCAGCUUCAGACAUCUGUUAUGUGGCCAAAGGUAAUUUCAUUGAGGUGCGGGGCUUUGUCUUCCUGUGUUCAAAGAGGGCCUAACACAAUGGGGGCCUGAAUCCUGCUGCUGCAGAGAUAACACCUUGUUUGUGCCCUGCUGCAGCUAGAAGAUAGCUUUCAGGGAAACAAUACAUCUUUAUCAUGCAGGCAUGGCACUUUAUGCAGUAUAACCAUAUUUAUUGACAAUGAGAAAAAGGAGAGAGAGCUUGUCAUCAGUGAACAGCUUUAGGAAGUAGAGAGCCAGUUUAUUAAGAUUUUUAAACCCAAUACAAAUGGCCCAGAAUUUAUCUGGUUUAGAUGACCUUUGUGGAAGCGGUAACAAGACUUCUCAAAUUUGGGAAAAAAACCCAUGCCUAUAGAGAAAAGUAAAACAAUUUCACUUUCCUAUCUGUAAAAUAGGAAUCUGUCUGAUCUAUUUCUAAAUGAAUUAGAGGAACCAUCUUUCCGUCACUCUGGUUCUUCAUUAACUUGGCUAAUCUAUCAGCCUGUAAUUCUUUUUAAAAAAAGAGAGUAAAUGCUAAAAGGUAACAUUAAUGGUCUGGUCUUUUUUUGACUCCUUAAGUUUCUUCAGUCUUCUCAUCUACCUGGCAAAGCUGUCCCUUUUACAAACUGGUAUGAAAUGUAAUGUUUUGAGGAAGCUACAAUACUAGCUCUGAUACUGAAUGUGAAAAUGUUUGUAUAGAAAGCUGAGAGUUAAAGUUAACCCUCACAACAUGGAUGAUCACGUGGAAGAACGACCUGCUAAUUUUUUUAUGCAAGCCUCAUACAAGAGGUCACAGUUCAGCUGAUGCAGGACCAGGAGGUACCUCCUGGGUCGGAGAGCUCAUCCCUGUUUUCAUGAGCCCUGGGCUGAGCAGACCUUGACCGGGCUGUUCUGAGCAGUUUCCUCACUACCGGUAACGGACUGUACAGAAGCAAGUUGGAGGGUGGUCACACCCAAAUGCCAUUUUCACAUGGAAUCAAGUGCAAGAUUGCUUUUUAUUUCCAAGAGAAACAUUAACUACAGUACCAGGCUGUAUUGUGAACUGAGGGAGAGAGUACAGCUCACAGGUACUGUUUAACAUGUCGAGCCUUUACAGUCCAAAGUUUAAAACAUUAACAUUAAUGGCAAACUUGAAGCUUUGAUAAUGAAAACACUUACCCCGUGGCUGAGUGGCUGUUUGUUUUUUUCUGGUUUUGUGUUGUGUGGUUUGGUUUUUUUUUUCAUUUAUUUACUCUGAUGAUAAACUCUUGCGCCUGUUGGAGGUGUUAAGCGUGAUGGUUGUUCAUUUGGUGCUGUUCGAGCGCCACCUUCUGUCUCGUCCUGGUGUGGCUUCCCUAGGGCUCAAGAAAGGAAAGAGAAAACUCUUAAACCCUGCUCUGGUUUCCUGUUCUGCCACCUCGUGCAGGGCAGUUUUUGGGAAGAAACAACAGCGAGUGGGGACAGCUGCCAAACACUUCAUGCUUUGAAAGAGAGUAUAGACACCUUAACAGAGUUGUCCACCACACACAGACCACCUUCCCCUCUUGCUUCAUGUGUCUAGGACCAUCGCUUCAUCUGUGAGAAACGGGUCACCAGGCCCUCGGCCAUGCUGGCGGUUUAGCCUGGAGGGACAAAA